GGUCCUAUAGCUCAGUUGGUUAGAGCGUAUGUUGCUUCUCCUCACCAAUCAUAGAAGACAGUUCACUAACAUUAAUAUAGGUGGUGCUAAUAACAAAGUUAACGCCAAGGUCGCGAGUUCGACCCUCGUUGGGACCA